rnacentral:rRNA from 1 species
ACUCCUACGGGAGGCAGCAGUGGGGAAUAUUGCACAAUGGGCGCAAGCCUGAUGCAGCCAUGCCGCGUGUAUGAAGAAGGCCUUCGGGUUGUAAAGUACUUUCAGCAGUGAGGAAGGUGGGUGUGUUAAUAGCAUACUCAUUUGACGUUAGCUGCAGAAGAAGCACCGGCUAACUCCGUGCCAGCAGCCGCGGUAAUACGGAGGGUGCGAGCGUUAAUCGGAAUUACUGGGCGUAAAGCGUGCGUAGGCGGUUAUAUAAGCUAGAUGUGAAAGCCCGGGGCUUAACCUCGGAACUGCAUUUAGAACUGUAUGACUAGAGUUUUGUANAGGGUGGUGGAAUUUCCAGUGUAGCGGUGAAAUGCGUAGAGAUUGGAAGGAACAUCAGUGGCGAAGGCGGCCACUGGACAAAAACUGACGCUGAGGCACGAAAG